UACGGGGGGGGCAAGCGUUGUUCGGAAUUACUGGGCGUAAAGGGCUCGUAGGCGGCCAACUAAGUCGGACGUGAAAUCCCCAGGCUCAACCUGGGAACUGCGUCUGAUACUGGAUGGCUUGAAUCCGGGAGAGGGAUGCAGAAUUCCAGGUGUAGCGGUGAAAUGCGUAGAUAUCUGGAGGAACACCUAUUGCGAAGGCAGCUCGCUGGGACGUAACUGACGCUGAGACGCGAAAGCGUGGGGAGCAAACAGG
rnacentral:rRNA from 1 species